GUUUUUGAUGAUGAUGAUCAAAUAAUGCAUACGCUUGUAGGUUUAGGUGCUGAAUAUAACUCAGUCAUAGUCACUAUCAUUUCUAAGCCAGAAGUCUGGACUCUUGGUGAUGUUAUCUCAUUAUUAUUGAGUUUUUAGA